CCUGCAUCAUUUACCAUUGUCAAAAAUAUAUACAUAAAUAGUAUAUUUAGUAUAUGGUUAGAUAAUUAAGCUAUCAAAUUUAUCUACUCUUUUAUAUAAAACUCAAUUUGAGUAUAAAUAGAGGAUAGAAAUAUGUAUAAUACAUAAAAUCCAAUUAGAACUUUUUCUUAAAUAAAGAGAGAUUAUUUUGUAUUUUUUGAAGCACGAUCGUAAAUUUUGGAUUAAAAAUUUGCUGUUAUGUGUUAAUAAUAAUAAUAAGAUAAAUAUGUAAAGACAUGCAUCCUGGGUAUUAAUUACUUUUUUGGGUCAAAAUAAUAUUUGCAGGUUAUAUAGGUUUACAUUACAAUUAACACUUAGUUUUAGCUCUGUUAUUGAACACACAUUAGUAAUUUAAUUAGGUAGCGUACGUACGUAGCCCAUUUAUUAUAUCUGUGUAUGUGUUAUAACUCGAAAAUAUUUAUCAAAAUUUUAAGGUUUAUUUUUAUUGUGUCUGCAAAAUAAUUAUGUUUUAUAAUUAAUUAAUUAAUUUCUCAGAGGAGAACCCAUAUCACAAAUAUUAAUGGAGUGAAUUUUGAUUUGUUAUCGUGAGGUGGUGAACAGAUGUGUUAAAUUGAUGUCUUGUUUUCUUCUUCAUUUUUGAUUAGCAUGGACUUACCAGCACGGCAUUGAUAGCUUUUGACUCCGGGACCGGCGGAUCUUUGGCGUCCCCUUUCUGAUUCAAGAGCACGUCCAGCAAGUCGUGUUCAUCAUUAAUCUCUCUGCCCGAUUUUUUCUCUUCAAUCCUAUCCUUCACGAAUUUCUCCACGAUCCUCCUGGCUCGCCCCAUCUCUCUCACCAUCUCUCUCUUCAUUCCCGCCGGAUCCAGCCGUCGGAGGAAGGGAAAAUAAUCAGCCAGAUUCGCCUUCCCGCCCAGCUCCAUCACGUUGUUCAUGGCGUCGAAGAACUCGAACCCCUCUUCAGAUUCCGAGCUCAAAACAUCUCUGGAAAGCACCAGGUUGCCAACCAGGUUAAACGACGCGACGAAGAGCAGAUGCCCGAUGUCCACCUAUUAAUCCAAACCAUAAUUAGAAUUUAUCGAUUCAAGUUGUUAUAAUAUAUUAUGUUGUCUAGCAAUAGACUAUAGUUUUAGUUAUCUCUUAAUUAGAUACACUUGACUUGAGAGUUUACCUCGCCUCCGUUUGCCGCCUCAAUCCACUUCACCAAGUUAUCGACACACUUCCUUCUCAUGGCGGCGGUGUCAUUUAUCCUUUUGGCACUCAGAAACUCCGCCGAGUAGAGGCGGCGGAGCAGCCGCCAGUACGGGCUGUAACUGUUGAGAGACAAGCCUCCUUCGUGGUAGUUCCAGGCGGUGAGGGCGUCGGGGACCUUGCGAUCGGGGAAAUCGAGGUCGUGGUACUUGAACAACUCGGCGGCCGCCAUGGCCGACUGCACCACGAGCGUGUUCAUUGAGCCGAGCCGCAGCCAGAUAACUGGGCCGUACUUGGUCCGGAGGCUGUGUAAGGUCUGGUGUGACAUCGAGCCGAGGUCGAACAUGUUUCCGAAGACCGGCCAACCCGGUGGUCCCGGGGGCGGCCGGCCGGUUCUGGUCUUUUUCCGGCUGAUCAGAAGGAGGAGAGUGGCUGAUAAUAGAAAGACAGUAAUAACAAACGUAACGUCUCCGAAAGUUGUCUCCAUUUUCUUUCUUGCUCUGUG